GGACUCUACCCUUCCUGCCCCGCCGCCUGGGAAGACCUGCCCGUCCGGAGCAGCGGAGCCCACCGCGGCGGCGUCAAGGGCCCGCCUCCCGGGCCUCCGAGCUCUGAGAAGCUCUGAAGUGUUUAUGUUGGAUUUUUCGGUCAAGACUAGAUUGUUGAGGAGCUGAUAAGCUGCUGACAUCAGGGGGAAAAGGAAACAAGGGAGCACCAAGGAGGCUCCAGAGAAUCACUAAAGCUCUAUUUCUUAAACUAGGUGAUCUGCUUGAAUGUAGAACCCCUGCUGCUUCUGGAAAGGUCUGGAGA